UCUCCUCUCUCUCCUCCCGCGCGAUUCUCCCCCGACCUCCGCCUCUUCUCAUCGACACCCCGGCCACCACAGGCCGGCUUGAUCUCCGCCGUGGGUACCUUCGGGACCGUGACAUCCUCGCCGUUCUUCCCCGACCCGCCGCCGACCUGGGGAAGCCCGUAACUGGCCGAAAUCUGCCAUUUUUGCCGAUUUUCCAGUUCGAAAUUUGAGCUCCUCGUUCUCCCUCAAUUCUCCACCAAAUCGAUCGAGUAAGGCCGUAGAAGUGCGCAGGAUCCACCACCGGGCCAUUCCUAGCUUUCGCGCCACCAAGUAAGGUAGAGUUUGUGGAAAAGUCCUUGAAACCCUGUAAACUUUAGAAAAUGCUCUGAUAUCUAGUUUAGUGGAAAACUGGAGCUGGUGAAUACUUGGUUAUUCUAUUCUGGCAGUUGGUGUGGAUUUAUUUAAUUGUUUAACAGGUGGAAGAUUUUGGGUUUA